rnacentral:tRNA from 1 species
AUCUCGUUGGGCUAGUGGUCAUGCCAUCUGUCUCACAGAAUUCUCACACGAGAUUUCAAAGAACACAGAAGAUCGCAGGUUCAAACCCUGCACGGGAUA